rnacentral:rRNA from 1 species
AGGACGAACGCUGGCGGCGUGCCUAACACAUGCAAGUCGAACGAGGUCCAACCGGUGGCAACACUGGUGAAGACCGAGUGGCGAACGGGUGAGUAACACGUGAGCAACCUGCCUCGAAGACUGGGAUAACCCCGGGAAACCGGAGCUAAUACCGGAUACCCCCACCGGGUCGCAUGGCCUGGUGAGGAAAUGGAUUCCGCUUUGAGAGGGGCUCGCGGCCUAUCAGCUUGAUGGUGGGGUAAUGGCCUACCAUGGCACCGACGGGUAGCUGGUCUGAGAGGACGAUCAGCCACACUGGGACUGAGACACGGCCCAGACUCCUACGGGAGGCAGCAGUGGGGAAUCUUGCGCAAUGGGCGAAAGCCUGACGCAGCAACGCCGCGUGUGGGACGAAGGCCUUCUGGGUUGUAAACCACUUUCAGCAGGGACGAUUGUGACGGUACCUGCAGAAGAGCCCCGGCCAACUACGUGCCAGCAGCCGCGGU